rnacentral:sRNA from 2 species
AUGGAUAAAUCCAGUUGCCCGUGCGGGUGUCAUGACCGGUUUCGGCUUCGUCGUUUGAAGGGCUGAUGUGCGAAGCUGUCGUUGAGGAUGGGGAUGCAUAUGGUGAGGGAGGCGGGCGGGCGGAGGUGGAAGAUGUAGCAGCUGUGGGCGUAUCUGGCACUGCUCGGGGGAUGCUGCUUACUUCCCGCUCCUGAGAUAAUGGUCUCAGUUGUUUCGACAGUUUUGUGGUGCCUGUAAGUUUCGGAGCUGGGUCGGUUGGGCUCGUUGGACUAAGAUUGGAGGUUUGAUGUUGUGAAAGCCAUGCAGCGCGAGUUUUGUGGUCUACAGGACAUGUCGCCUGGGAUCCACUGUCUUGGGCAAAACCAGUGGAAGUAGGGACUGCUGUAGGUUGGGAUGGGGUAUUUGCUGUACUUGCAUUGGCCCCC